GUCCUAAAACAUAGCGCCAAAUGAAAGAAUAUUUCUGCUCUUUUUUCCCCAAUAUCCCCUAAAACAUUCUCUCUCUCAUUUUAUACCCAGUAUCCCCAAAACAUUUCUCUCUCAUUUUUCCCCAAUUAGAGUUGAUAGGGUACUCUUGUUGGCCUUUGAUUAGACAGUGGGAGGUACGCCGGCACAGUUGAUAGGAACUCCGGCCAUUGCUACACAAGUUUCCGAUCGUCCAUUGCCUUCCCAGCUCCCAGGCAAUAGAUGUAAAAUUAAUGGGCUGCCUCAUGGGAUGAUCUAAAGAAAGUUUGUGGUCAAAUGGUUGAACGGACAAUUGAGCAAAUUGUGGCCGUUCAUAGCCGAACAAAUUGAUAUGGCUAGUGGACUCCUUUCGCCUAUGAAUGCAAGGAGAUUAUGUGAUAAUAGUGAUCCUAAUGACAGUCGUUGAUUUCAUUGCAAAUUGUCGUGGAUAUUCAAUUAUGAUGAUGUAAUUGUGUGGUUGGAGCAAAUCUUAGAAUAUUGAAGGAUUUGUGUUUAAAUUUGAUUUUGGAGCUUGAAGAUACUAGUUAAUGUUGAAAAUUUGGAGUUUGAAGAUUCUAAUUUUGAAGUUUAAUGUUCAAUGUAUUUUUGAUAUGCUUGUCAAUUAUAAUGUGUAAUUAGUCA